rnacentral:lncRNA from 1 species
GAUAGUUUGCCCUUGCUUGAGAACACACAUACUGGUUUUUCGAUACUCCAGCCGCAGCCGCCGAAUCAGUGCACCGUUUCCCUUCCACCAGCCCGGCGGUAGGAACACCGAGGUGUGCAGUUUAUUUCCAUUACUCUGGCAUCUAAAGCACCUUCUCCUUAAAGCUUCGUGGGCUCAAAUUGAAUCGCUGCGUCGUGAUCCCUUCGCAUACUGACUGAAGUCGUACCCGCUCAACGCAACGCCUCCUCGCCGACCGCCGCCACCACUCAACGUUUCCCGGGGAGAUGCCGAAGAAAUCGACGAAAUCCAAGUCCAAGCGCACAACCCUGAAGCAGAAAUACAAGCUUAUUAAAAAAGUGAAAGAACAUAAUAAGAAAAAGCGCAGGGAGGACGCUCGGAAUAAGCGUCUGGGCUGCUUCAAGUCGAGGGCACCGAGAGAUCCCGGAGUUCCGGCGGAAUGGCCUUACAAGGAAGAACUGAUGAAGGAGAUAGAUUUUGAGCUGGACAAAAAGAAAGCGCUCGACAAGGCGAAAGCCCAAGCGCGUCAUUCUCGGCGUUCAGAAAACCGCGAGCGAGCGGGUCAUAACCCAGGAUCCAAU